rnacentral:rRNA from 1 species
AGCCACACUGGAACUGAGACACGGUCCAGACUCCUACGGGAGGCAGCAGUGGGGAAUAUUGGACAAUGGGCGCAAGCCUGAUCCAGCCAUGCCGCGUGUGUGAAGAAGGCCUUCGGGUUGUAAAGCACUUUCAGCGAGGAGGAAGGGUGUUGUGUUAAUAGCACAGCAUUUUGACGUACUCGCAGAAGAAGCACCGCUAACU